GGCCUUGUGGUGUAGUGGCAACAUCCUUGCUUAGGGACUUUACUCUGCUCACCUUGCAAGGGAUCCUGCGUUCAAACCGCAGCUGGGCCA